GUAGAUAUGCGGAGGAACACCAGUGGCGAAGGCGGCUCGCUGGGUCACAACUGACGCUGAGACGCGAAAGCAUGGGGAGCGAACGGGAUUAGAAACCCCGGUAGUCCAUGCCGUAAACGAUGUGCACUAGACGUUCGUGCGGCUACGGUCGUGUGAGUGUCGCAGCUAACGCGAUAAGUGCACCGCCUGGGGAGUACGGUCGCAAGGCUAAAACUCAAAGGAAUUGACGGGGGCCCGCACAAGCAGCGGAGCGUGUGGUUUAAUUCGAGGCUACGCGAAGAACCUUACCCGGGCUUGACAUCCCGCGCAAUCCUGUGAAAGCAGGAGUUCCUUCGGGACGCGGAGACAGGUGCUGCAUGGCUGUCGUCAGCUCGUGUCGUGAGAUGUUCGGUUAAGUCCGAAAACGAGCGCAACCCUUAUUGCUAGUUACAAGUGUCUAGCGAGACUGCCCGCGGCAAGCGGGAGGAAGGUGGGGAUGACGUCAAGUCAGCAUGGCCUUUAUGUCCGGGGCUACACACACGCUACAAUGGCACAUACAAUGGGUCGCGAAACCGCGAGGUGGAGCCAAUCCCGCAAAGUGUGUCGUAGUUCGGAUUGCAGGCUGCAACUCGCCUGCAUGAAGUCGGAGUUGCUAGUAACCGCGUAUCAGCACGGCGCGGUGAAUACGUUCCCGGGCCUUGCACUCACCGCCCGUC
rnacentral:rRNA from 1 species